rnacentral:lncRNA from 1 species
AUGCAUGACAGUUCGUAAGCAGACGAACCAUAUUGAUCGUGAGCAACCAUACGCAGUCUGGCUGCAUCCAGCUAGAUACUACUAGAACCCGAAACAUUGUUUUGACAAGUGCUCUAUAUUUCGGUUGCAGGUUUUCACUAAAUAAGAAUGCAGGAAGACAGGCUUUCCUACAAGCUACGACAGUUUUACCUACAAAUGUUUCGUGCUGCAACUAGUAGCUGAUUUCCUAGGAUCCUAUGCCUAAAAUUGGAAUUCAGUUAUCAGAGAUUAGCAAAAUUCAAGCACUUAAAAGCAAGUAUUGGACUUAUUUCCACAUUCAAAGUAAAAUAUAAUUUUGAGUUUUAGGUGUAAACUCUAGAUGGCGUUGAAGUGCGUCUAAAAUGAAGAUUGCGAGUGAUAUGUAAUAGGUGUUUGUUACGUUACCUGUUUAGUUUUUCAAAGGAUAUUUCGUCAAAAAAUUUACGGUAUGCCAGAAGCCUGCAUUCCUGCUAUCAAUGUAAAACAAGGAAUCCUGACACUUUAAGAAGGCCAGUAUUCCUUACAGGAAGAUCACCAUCCAGUUCAAUCAAUGACAGAGUCUUCAUCUAUUUUACAUUGCCAGCCAACAGCCCUCUGCAUCCCAGAUAUCUAGAUUUCCAAGCUUCGCUGAUUAGCCAACCAUCAUCCAUACACUUCAGCUCUUCAUUGUGGUUUCUCUUCCUCUCUUCUUAAUCUGCCGAAAGCCAACAUGAAAUAAGGUUCAUCUUCAUUGGAUUACCAUGAAACUUGUCAUUGUUAAUCCUGCUGUUCUUCUCACCAUUACUUAGCCAGCUAACAUGGAUAGGCGUUAACACCAUCUCCAUUUUUUGGACUGCAAAUAUUCAUCUUCCUUUGGUACAACACUGCUGUUUCGACAAUUUCGCUAGUUUCGCCCCCCAGUGCACCACACGCAACUACAUUUUUUUCGUCUUCCUGUCGUGGUUGUCUACGCCUUCACCUCAUCGCUGUCUUCGUUGACGGGUUCGCCUUCAUCUCCGUCUCGUCGUCGUCUUGGCCGUCUUUUUCUACGCCAUCACCUCGUUGCCGGCUUCGCCUUCGCUUUUCACGUAGAGUUCACCGUGGAUCGUCGCCCUGGUAUUGUUUUAUUUUGCAUUGUAAUGUUUAAGUUAACCCGUUGGCUGCCACCCCGUUUGCGUCCCAUUUUUUUUUAGCUUGUAGGGACCGGCCGCAAUGGCCUUCGCCGCAAGGCGCCUUAGGCAA